CAAUUCUGAAGUUUUGGAACUUGCUUACAAUGUACUUCCUAUUUACUUAGCAAUUCUCAAAUGAAGAUAAGAAGCUUUUCCAACAGAGCCUUCCAGAACUCCCGCUUAGAAGAUAGCCUUCAAAGCUCAAAACACCAAAGAGCCAGAGCUUUCUCCUCCCCUUCCAAGAACCACGCUGAACAACCCUCGUGGAUGCCCUUUAGAUGGUGCGCAUACUACCUGACUCUUCUUCUUCCCUUGGCAAAAUGUGCCUGUAUUCAAAACUUCAGCUAAUCUACACUUCGAUGUCCUUUCAGAAAGGUCUCUACACUCUAAUAAUAAGUUACAGAAAUACGCAACUGCAGAGAAGCAGGACCCUGGAAUAACUGCAGUCGCUAGUGUACCUCGCUGAAAGAAGUCUAUGAACCAGAGAGACCUCCUAUCCAGGCAGAAGCAAUGAAGGCAGACUGCAAAAGCUGGUACAGAGAACUGCCUGUACCAACUGAUCUGGGGCUUUCCACAUCCUUGCUGCCUGUCUCUUCCGCAGUCUGGAACUGAAGCAACACUACAAGCUCAGACAAGAUUGAUGUCUUUCUCUUGACCUUACAAGCUGUUGAAAGCACGUAACAGUUUUUGUACAGAAAUGAAGAAUUUAUAGCUUCCUCCUAGAAAUUUGGGUUCACAUUCUGGACCUUGAGGCCAGAUUUGAGCAUUACUUGUCACUGUCCCCAAAAUUUGUUCUGUCUCCAUUACUCUUCCUUGACCUCAUGAAAACCCUGUCCUUCUUAAUAGAAAAAUCCUUCAAUGCUACUGCCUGGGGGAAACAUGGCCAGAUAUAGAGGGGCAUGAGGCCUCUGGGGAAAACCAAGGAGGAAUUAUAAAGGGAAAAAGAGAGAGGGAGGGUGAGGGGGUUGGCGAACUUAAAAUUGGGAGCCAAACAGCUAAGUGGUUUGUCUGGCAGCUCUAAAUGUCCUUUACCUACAUCUCAAAGAGGAUAUCCUAGAUUAACAUAACAGGGACAUAAGAGGUUAAUUUGUUACCAUUUCUUUUGUGGCAGGGAUUGUAGGCCAGAUGCUGCAGAUAGUAAGAGAAAUCAUUGUGGAAGACUGCCAGCCAACAAGCAUGGCUAGAGAACGGGGGACAUAAGAAGGGCACACCACAGCCAGGCCUGCAUGGAGAAGCUACAGUCCUUUCCUGUGACCCCAGCAAUGGAUGUCUAAUGAGUUUACAGUUACUUUAUAAUUUCCAGGAUGGCUUCAUCCUGAGAAUUGCUACACUGUACAUACCUGUCAAGUGUAAAGAGAAAACUUCACUUCCCAGUAAGAAAUGAAACAAAAAUCUACUCCUUGGUCUCUCUGAAUUUCCAGAAUCUAGUAGUCUCUGGAUUUCCAGAAUCUAGGCACAUUGACACCAGACAAAGCAAUGACAUUAACAUCAUGAUGCCUUUCCCAAACACAGGGUAUUUCAAAACAUUUCAGGAAAAUAAAGUAUUAACAGAAACUGUCUAAUAAACUCAUGAUGGAACAUUAUUUGCUUUUGUAGCUAAUGAUAAACUUUCUUUUAAACCAGUGUUUGACUUUUUUUUGCUACAACCAUGAAUUGUCUCCACUUGCCAAACACCAGGUUCUAACAAGAGAAUUAUAUCUGCCAAUACCAUAGUUAUAAAACUGUAUCUAACCACCUUAACCAGUUUGAUUUUUUAUGGCAUUACUAGAUAUUCUCUUAGGUUUAGUGAACCGUCCCUACCAUUUUUCUUUGCUUUGUUUUUGUUUACCCUUUGAAAGACUGGUUUGGAAGAGCUGUUCAUGUCACAUAGCAAAUAAAUUAGCCAUGUGACUGUCUCAUGAUUUUGGAAUAUUUUUGCAUCUUAUAUUUCCAUGAUAUAUGAUACAUUUGUUUGCCACACACAUUUUAAAAAUAUAUAAUAGACUGCAUGAAUUCUAAUUAGGAAGACAUAUUUUAAAUCCUUUAUAAUUUUCCUGAUUCCUUUCUCAGACUAUUUGUUGUUUGUAUACAGGAGGGAUACUGAUUUUUGUGAGUUAAUUUUGUAUCCAGCUACUCUACUGAAAGUGUUUUUCAGCAGUAGAUGUUCCUUGAUAAAAAUUUUAGGGUC